rnacentral:rRNA from 1 species
AGAGUUUGAUCCUGGCUCAGGAUGAACGCUAGCGGGAGGCUUAACACAUGCAAGUCGAGCGGGAUCCCCGAGCAAUCGGGGUGAGAGCGGCGCACGGGUGAGUAACGCGUAUGCAACCUGCCUUUUACAGGGGGAUAGCCCAGGGAAACUUGGAUUAAUACCUCAUGGUACUAUUUGAUCGCAUGGUUAGAUAGUUAAAGAUACGUCGGUAAAAGAUGGGCAUGCGUGGCAUUAGGUAGUUGGGGGGGUAACGGCCCACCAAGCCAGCGAUGCCUAGGGGUUCUGAGAGGAUGAUCCCCCACACUGGUACUGAGACACGGACCAGACUCCUACGGGAGGCAGCAGUGGGGAAUUUUGGACAAUGGGGGCAACCCUGACCCAGCCAUUCCGCGUGAGUGAAGAAGGCCUUCGGGUUGUAAAGCUCUUUCGGCAGGAACGAAACGGUGGGGGCUAAUA